rnacentral:rRNA from 1 species
CGUAAGAGCUCGUAGGCGGUUUGUCGCGUCUGCCGUGAAAGUCCGGGGCUUAACCCCGGAUCUGCGGUGGGUACGGGCAGACUAGAGUGCAGUAGGGGAGACUGGAAUUCCUGGUGUAGCGGUGAAAUGCGCAGAUAUCAGGAGGAACACCGAUGGCGAAGGCAGGUCUCUGGGCUGUAACUGACGCUGAGGAGCGAAAGCAUGGGGAGCGAACAGGAUUAGAUACCCUGGUAGUCCAUGCCGUAAACGUUGGGCACUAGGUGUGGGGGACAUUCCACGUUUUCCGCGCCGUAGCUAACGCAUUAAGUGCCCCGCCUGGGGAGUACGGCCGCAAGGCUAAAACUCAAAGGAAUUGACGGGGGACCCGCACAAGCGGCGGAGCAUGCGGAUUAAUUCGAUGCAGCGCGAAGRACCUUACCAAGGCUUGACAUGAACCGGAAUGAUGCAGAGAUGUGUCAGCCACUUGUGGCCGGUUUACAGGUGGUGCAUGGUUGUCGUCAGCUCGUGUCGUGAGAUGUUGGGUUAAGUCCCGCAACGAGCGCAACCCUCGUUCCAUGUUGCCAGCGGGUUAUGCCGGGGACUCAUGGGAGACUGCCGGGGUCAACUCGGAGGAAGGUGGGGACGACGUCAAAUCAUCAUGCCCCUUAUGUCUUGGGCUUCACGCAUGCUACAAUGGCCGGUACAAAGGGUUGCGAUACUGUGAGGUGGAGCUAAUCCCAAAAAGCCGGUCUCAGUUCGGAUUGAGGUCUGCAACUCGACCUCAUGAAGUUGGAGUCGCUAGUAAUCGCAGAUCAGCAACGCUGCGGUGAAUACGUUCCCGGGCCUUGUACACACCGCCCGUCAAGUCACGAAAGUUGGUAACACCCGAAGCCGGUGGCCUAACCCCUUGUGGGAGGGAGCCGUCGAAGGUGGGACCGGCGAUUGGGACUAAGUCGUAACAAGGGUAACCGACUU